rnacentral:tRNA from 1 species
GCACUGGUAGUUCAGUGGUAGAAACCUCAACUCCCAUGUGGAAGACUCAGGUUCGAUUCCUGGCCAGUGUA